rnacentral:tRNA from 1 species
UAACUCAGUUGGUAGAGUGCUUGCCUUGCAUGCACAAGGCCCUGGGUUCAACCCCCAG